rnacentral:rRNA from 1 species
CCUACGGGAGGCAGCAGUGAGGAAUAUUGGUCAAUGGGCGAGAGCCUGAACCAGCCAAGUCGCGUGAAGGAUGAAGGAUCUAUGGUUUGUAAACUUCUUUUAUAUGGGAAUAAAGUGUGGGACGUGUCCUAUUUUGUAUGUACCUUAUGAAUAAGGAUCGGCUAACUCCGUGCCAGCAGCCGCGGCAAUACGGAGGAUCCGAGCGUUAUCCGGAUUUAUUGGGUUUAAAGGGUGCGUAGGCGGCCUUUUAAGUCAGCGGUGAAAGUCUGUGGCUCAACCAUAGAAUUGCCGUUGAAACUGGGGGGCUUGAGUAUGUUUGAGGCAGGCGGAAUGCGUGGUGUAGCUGUGAAAUGCUUAGAUAUCACGCAGAACCCCGAUUGCGAAGGCAGCCUGCCAAGCCAUGACUGACGCUGAUGCACGAAAGCGUGGGGAUCAAACAGGAUUAGAUACCCUAGUAGUC